AUUGAAUGCUGGCGGCCGGACUCUCGCCUGCAAGUCGAGCUGUUGACGGGUGCUUGCUCCUGGAUUCAGCGGCGGACGGGUGAGUAAUGCCUAGGAAUCUGCCUGGUAGUGGAGGCUAACGUCCGGUUCCGGGCGAUAAUGCCGCAUACGUCCUGAGGGAGAGAGACGGGGUCAUUCGGACCUCCCUCUAUCAGAUGAGCAUAGGUCGGAUUAGCUAGUUGGUGGGGUAAAGGCAUACCAAGGCGACGAUCCGUAACUGGUCUGAGAGGAUGAUCAGUUAAACUGAAUCUGAGACAGUAGCGAGAGGACUACGGGAGGAAGUAGUGGGGAAUAUUGGACAAUGGGCAGAAACCUGAUCCAGCCAAGUCGCGUGAGGGAAGAAGGUCUUCGGAUAGGAAAGCACGUUAAGUUGGGAGGAAGGGCAGGAAGUUAAAAACUCGCUGUUGUGACGGUAACAACAGAAUAAGCACCGGCUAACUUAGUG
rnacentral:rRNA from 1 species